CGGCGUGCCUAACACAUGCAAGUCGAGCGAGAAAAGGACCUUCGGGUCCUGAGUAAAGCGGCGCACGGGUGAGUAACGCGUGGGUAACCUACCCAUGAGUGGGGGAUAACCCGCCGAAAGGCGGACUAAUCCCGCAUACGACCAUCAGGCUUAAGCCUGAUGGGGAAAGAUGGCCUCUGCUUGCAAGCUAUCGCUCUUGGAUGGGCCCGCGUUGGAUUAGCUAGUUGGUGAGGUAAUGGCUCACCAAGGCUGCGAUCCAUAGCUGGUUUGAGAGGACGACCAGCCACACUGGAACUGAGACACGGUCCAGACUCCUACGGGAGGCAGCAGUGAGGAAUAUUGCGCAAUGGGGGAAACCCUGACGCAGCGACGCCGUGUGGGUGAUGAAGGGCCUCGGGUCGUAAAGCUCUGUCAGAGGGGAAAGAAAGGGGUGGGUGGAUUAUACCCAUCACCAUUGACGGGGACCCUCCAAGGAAACACCGGGCUAACUCCGUGCCAACAACCGCGGGAAUACGGAGGGGUCAAGUGUUAUUCCGAAAUACCUGGGCGUUAAGAAACACGUAGGCGGAUAGG
rnacentral:rRNA from 1 species